GGUGAGUAACGCGUGGGUAACCUGCCCCUGAGUUGGGGACAACUCGUUGAAAAGUGGGCUAAUACCGGAUACGGUAUCCUGGGGCAUCUCAGGAAUAUUAAAGGUGGGGAUUCUUCGGAACCUGCCGCUCGGGGAGGGGCCCGCGUCCCAUCAGUUUGUUGGUAGGGUAAUGGCCUACCAAGACGUACGGGUAGCCGGCCUGAGAGGGUGAUCGGCCACGCUGGGACUGAGACACUGCCCAGACUCCUACGGGAGGCUGCAGUCGAGGAUCAUUCGCAAUGCGCGAAAGCGUGACGAUGCGACGCUGCGUGGAGGAUGACGGCCUUCGGGUUGUAAACUCCUGUCAUGAGGGAAAAGACGACGGUGAGUUAAUAACUCUUCGUCCCGAUGGUACCUCAAGAGGAAGCCACGGCUAACUCUGUGCCAGCAGCCGCGGUAUACAGAGGUGGCGAGCGUUGUUCGGAUUUACUGGGCGUAAGGAGUACGUAGGUGGUAUCGUAUGUCGGAUGUGAAAUCCCACAGCUCAACUGUGGAACUGCAUCCGAAACUGCGGAACUUGAGUACAGGAGGGGAGAGCGGAAUUCUUGGUGUAGCGGUGAAAUACGUUGAUAUCAAGAAGAACACCGGCGGCGAAGACGGCUCUCUGGAAUGUUACUGACACUGAGGUACGAAAGCUGGGGGAGCAAACAGGAUUAGAUACCCUGGUAGUCCCAGCCGUAAACGGUGCACACUUGGUGUGGGGGGUAUUGACCCCCCCCGUGCCGGAGCUAACGCGUUAAGUGUGCCGCCUGGGGAGUACGGCCGCAAGGCUAAAACUCAAAGAAAUUGACGGGGGCCCGCACAAGCGGAGGAGCAUGUGGCUUAAUUCGAUGCAACGCGAAGAACCUUACCUGGGCUUGACAUGUCGACUCUUCGGAGGUGAGGGCGAAAGCUCUCUCUGCGAACACAGGUGCUGCAUGGCUGUCGUCAGUUCGUGCCGUGAGGUGUUGGGUUAAGUCCCGCAACGAACGCAACCCUUGUGGUUAGUUGCCACCGGAGGUGAUGAGCCUUCGAGCACUCUAGCCAGACUGCCCGUACAAGCGGGAGGAAGGUGGGGAUGACGUCAAGUCAGUAUGGCCCUUACGCCCAGGGCUGCACACGUGCUACAAUGGUCGGUACAAUGGGAGGCAAGACCGCGAGGUGGAGCAAAUCCUCAAAACCGGCCUAAGUUCGGAUUGGAGUCUGAAACUCGACUCCAUGAAGUCGGAUUCGCUAGUAACGGCGUAUCAGCUACGACGCCGUGUAUACGUUCCCGGGCCUUGUACACACCGCCCGUCACAUCAUGAAAGCCGUCUGCACCCGAAGUCGCUGAGCUAACCCGCAAGGGAGGCAGGUGCCGAAGGUGUGAGUGGUGAUUGGGAUGAAGUCGUAACAAGGUA
rnacentral:rRNA from 1 species